UCCGUAGGUGAACCUGCGGAAGGAUCAUUACCUAGAGUUGCGGGCUUUGCCUGCCAUCUCUUACCCAUGUCUUUUGAGUACCUUACGUUUCCUCGGCGGGUCCGCCCGCCGACUGGACAAUUUAAACCACUUGCAGUUGCAAUCAGCGUCUGAAAAAACUUAAUAGUUACAACUUUCAACAACGGAUCUCUUGGUUCUGGCAUCGAUGAAGAACGCAGCGAAAUGCGAUAAGUAGUGUGAAUUGCAGAAUUCAGUGAAUCAUCGAAUCUUUGAACGCACAUUGCGCCCCUUGGUAUUCCAUGGGGCAUGCCUGUUCGAGCGUCAUUUGUACCUUCAAGCCUUGCUUGGUGUUGGGUGUUUGUCUCGCCUCUGCGCGUAGACUCGCCUCAAAACAAUUGGCAGCCGGCGUAUUGAUUUCGGAGCGCAGUACAUCUCGCGCUUUGCACUCAGAACGACGACGUCCAAAAGUACAUUUUUACACUCUUGACCUCGGAUCAGGUAGGGAUACCCGCUGAACUUAAGCAUAUCAAUAAGCGGAGGA
rnacentral:sRNA from 1 species